rnacentral:rRNA from 1 species
UACGUAGGGGGCUAGCGUUGUCCGGAUUUAUUGGGCGUAAAGAGCGUGUAGGCGGCCAGGUAGGUCUGCUGUGAAAACUCGAGGCUCAACCUCGAGACGUCGGCGGAAACCAUCCGGCUAGAGUCCGGAAGAGGAGAGUGGAAUUCCUGGUGUAGCGGUGAAAUGCGCAGAUAUCAGGAAGAACACCCGUGGCGAAGGCGGCUCUCUGGGACGGUACUGACGCUGAGACGCGAAAGCGUGGGGAGCGAACAGG